AUUCGAGAUAGAAUAAUUGCAUAUCUAACUUCAAUAGGCAGUAGGAGGAAAGAAGACCUCCGACACGAAAGAAACGUUGCGAAAUGAUACGGCCAAGUGAUGUAAUUUGUGGUGCCACGGCGGCAAAGAAAGUCUCUGUCGAGAUUUAGUCUCCGUCAAUGUCAUCGCAGAACAAUGAAAAAUAUCAACGUCGCGAAUUGGCUCCUUACAAAACAGGCUUUUUAUUAGAUUUCUGAAAAAAGAUAUAAGAAAUUACCGAGGAAUAAUAUAGACGAGUGUGAUUAUUGUUGACACAAUUUCAAGAAAAAUAUAUUGUCAAAGCUUAGUAGCAGUUAAUCGUACCGCUAAAUGACGAAGAAUCAAAGCCAAGAGAAAAUUUACGGAAUCACGAUAAGUCUCUUGCAAACAGAUUUCUCUCUGCUCUAUAUAUAUUUGCUGAGAAAAGAUUUUAUCCUACGGCAGAAUAAAAUACCGCUGUCUUUUCCCCGUUGUCGACGAGGCAAUAAAAGUUCCGGGCUACAAAACAUCGAACGACAGCUGUACCGUCUAUUUUUGGAGAGCAAACAUGCGCUCGCGCGCGAAUUAAAGUGUCUCCAAGCGUGCGUUAUUGUGGUUAUUGCGCGUAUGGAAAAACACACUAAUAUCGGACCGGAUUUGGUUAGAUGGCGCGCAUAGAUGCAUAUAUGGAAGUGUUGAUUGAGAGCUGUUAUUUAUAAGUAUAUUUGUAGUAUAUAGUAUAGAAAAUAAGCAUAGAAGUGGUUAAGAGAAUCUUAAAGUAAAGUAGAAGCGGUAGAAGUAAAGGUAAGACAGAGAAAGAGAUGGUAAGAUAUAAAUAGGACAAGAGAAAGGUAAGACAAAGGUUUGAGAUUGUGACGUCACGCGGGAUCAUGAGUGGCUAUAUAAUAUCGAGCGUGAAGGCGAAUGCGAUGAAUGCAAUCAAACGCGGGCAGAAACGCGGAAUCGCGCGCGGAGGAUCGCGAUGAGAAGGCGACUUUGCGGCGCCGGAGAGAGGAGGAAAAGCGCGAAUGAAAAUCGCAAGUCGGCGCAGUUUGCAGCCUUCUUAUCGACUGUUUUUUCCGCGACGGCGGAAACGUGUGCGUUUUCAACGACAACGAUAAACGACGAUAUCGCCGAUACGCGCUGACGAAAUUUACGCUCGCGAGGCCAGAGAUCUCGAUAGUAGUGUCACAAUAAAUGGCAAUAGUAAUCUAGAGUUUGCACUUGGAUUUUAAUUUAAACGGGAUAUUUCGAAACUAAUUAUUUUAUAAUCCUUUCACGAGAUGCUUAAUUAAUACUUUUACUAUUAAUGUUCUUUAUUCAUUUUUGUAUUUAAAUUAUAUAUCCUCUGUUUAAUUUUAGCAAUCAUUGUCUUAUUACGUACCCAGAUCGAAUGUCCAGUAAACGUUUAGUUUUGAUUUUUAUUUAGUCCAAAUGUCCAUGUAAUAUGACCGUUUUAAGAAUACCUAUUAUAUUAAGAAUAUCUAUAGACGUUCAAAGUAUAUUUAUAUUUAGACGUUUUAAAAACGUUCAUUUUACAUACCCAUACAACAUAGAACAUUUCAAUUACAUUGCAGCAAUAUCAUGUUACAAGUUGCAACGUAAUAUUGGAGAAACAUUAUAAGAACAUAUAACUGCGUUAUAUUUUAUGAGAAAUGUUACAGCAAUAUUUCAAAAAUAUAAAAAACCAGUAUUCACACAA